CAGUAGCCGCGGUAAUACAGAGGGUGCGAGCGUUAAUCGGAUUUACUGGGCGUAAAGCGUGCGUAGGCGGCUUCUUAAGUCGGAUGUGAAAUCCCUGAGCUUAACUUAGGAAUUGCAUUCGAUACUGGGAAGCUAGAGUAUGGGAGAGGAUGGUAGAAUUCCAGGUGUAGCGGUGAAAUGCGUAGAGAUCUGGAGGAAUACCGAUGGCGAAGGCAGCCAUCUGGCCUAAUACUGACGCUGAGGUACGAAAGCAUGGGGAGCAAACAGGAUUAGAGACCCGAGUAGUCCCUGUCUCUUAACA
rnacentral:rRNA from 1 species